rnacentral:rRNA from 1 species
AGAAUCAACGCUGGCGGCGUGCCUAACACAUGCAAGUCGAACGCGAAAGGGGAGCAAUCCCUGAGUAGAGUGGCAAACGGGUGAGUAACACGUGGGUGACCUGCCUUCGAGUGGGGGAUAACGUCCCGAAAGGGACGCUAAUACCGCAUGACAUCCUGCUUUUGGAAAAGCGGAGAUCAAAGCCGGGGAUUCGCAAGAACCUGGCGCUUGAAGAGGGGCCCGCGCCUGAUUAGCUAGUUGGUGAGGUAACGGCUCACCAAGGCUACGAUC